UACGGAGGGUGCAAGCGUUAUCCGGAUUCACUGGGUUUAAAGGGUGCGUAGGCGGAUAUGUAAGUCCGUGGUGAAAUCUCUGGGCUUAACCCGGAAACUGCCAUGGAUACUAUGUGUCUUGAAUGUUGUUGAGGUGAGCGGAAUAUGUCAUGUAGCGGUGAAAUGCUUAGAUAUGACAUAGAACACCAAUUGCGAAGGCAGCUCACUAAGCAAAUACUGACGCUGAGGCACGAAAGCGUGGGGAUCAAACAGG
rnacentral:rRNA from 1 species